rnacentral:rRNA from 1 species
GGUGAACGCUAGCGGCAGGCCUAAUACAUGCAAGUCGGACGGGAUUCGGGUGCUUGCACCUGAUGAGAGUGGCGCACGGGUGCGUAACACGUAUGUAACCUACCUUAGUCAGGGGGAUAGCCUCUCGAAAGAGAGAUUAAGACCGCAUAACAUCAUUGAAUGGCAUCGUUUGAUGAUCAAAUAUUUAUAGGACUAAGAUGGGCAUGCGCAACAUUAGCUAGUUGGUGUGGUAACGGCAUACCAAGGCUACGAUGUUUAGGGGAUCUGAGAGGAUGACCCCCCACACUGGUACUGAGACACGGACCAGACUCCUACGGGAGGCAGCAGUAAGGAAUAUUGGUCAAUGGACGGAAGUCUGAACCAGCCAUGCCGCGUGCAGGAAGACGGCCCUAUGGGUUGUAAACUGCUUUUGCAGGGGAAUAAACCUCGGUACGUGUACCGAGUUGAAUGUACCUUGAGAAUAAGGAUCGGCUAACUCCGUGCCAGCAGCCGCGGUAAAAC